AUGAAAGACUGCAUUGGUGCAAUAGAUGGGACUCACAUUAGAGCUUCAAUUCCAGAAGACAAGCAAAUCAGAUAUAUUGGAAGGACAGUCGCAGUCACUCAGAAUGUGAUGGCAAUAUGUGACUUUGAUAUGCAUUUCACUUAUGCUUCAAUUGGACAACCUGGUUCUAUGCAUGACACAAGUGUGCUAUUUCAUGCAAUGCAUGCGGACAAGGCCACCUUCCCCCAUCCUCCAAAGGACAAGUACUACCUUGUGGAUGCUGGCUAUCCUAAUAGAAAGGGAUAUCUCGCACCGUGCAAAGGUGAAAGAUAUCAUGUGCCUGACUUUCAUAGAGGUGUUCCACCCAAUACUCCUAAAGAAAAGUUCAAUAGGCUCCACUCGUCCAAACGCAAUUGCAUAGAGAGAGCCUUUGGAGUGUGGAAGAUGAAAUGGCAGAUUCUUCUAAAGAUGCCAAGCUACUCCAUCGAAACACAAAAGAUGAUUAGCCUCUAUUCCUAUGAAAAUUAG
rnacentral:rRNA from 1 species